rnacentral:rRNA from 1 species
UACGUAGGGGGCAAGCGUUGUCCGGAAUCAUUGGGCGUAAAGAGCGUGUAGGCGGCCCGAUAAGUCCGCUGUGAAAGUCAAAGGCUCAACCUUUGAAAGCCGGUGGAUACUGCAUGGCUAGAGUACGGAAGAGGCGAGUGGAAUUCCUGGUGUAGCGGUGGAAUGCGCAGAUAUCAGGAGGAACACCAAUAGCGAAGGCAGCUCGCUGGGACGGUACUGACGCUGAGGCGCGAAAGCGUGGGGAGCGAACAGG